rnacentral:rRNA from 1 species
CGCCCCUUGAUUUAAAACCAUAGGGGGUACUGCCUGCCCAGUGAUAAAUAUUCAACGGCCGCGGUAUUAUGACCGUGCAAAGGUAGCGUAAUCACUUGUCUUUUAAAUAAAGACCAGUAUGAAUGGCAAAACGAAAACUUAACUGUCUCCUUAAAUUGAUUAAUGAAAUUGAUCUCCCCGUGCAGAAGCGGGGAUAGUACUAUAAGACGAGAAGACCCUAUGGAGCUUUAAAUUUAAAUUAACUAUUAAAAUAUAAAAUAUAAUAAAUAAUAUAAACAAAAAUUUUAGGUUGGGGCGACCACGGAGCAAACUUUAACCUCCGAGAUAAAUAAUUAAGAAUUACACUUCAAAAUAAUAAAAUAUUAGUAUAUUUGAUCCAAUAUUUGAUCAACGAACUAAGUUACCCUAGGGAUAACAGCGCAAUCUCCUCAAAGAGUUCAUAUCGAUGAGCAGGUUUACGACCUCGAUGUUGGAUCAGGACUUCCCAAUGGUGCAGCAACUAUUAAAGGUUCGUUUGUUCAACGAUUAAAGUCCU